AUACGUAGGGGGCGAGCGUUGUCCGGAAUGAUUGGGCGUAAAGGGCGCGUAGGCGGCCCGGUAAGUCUGGAGUGAAAGUCCUGUUUUUAAGAUGGGAAUUGCUUUGGAUACUGUCGGGCUUGAGUGCAGGAGAGGUAAGUGGAAUUCCCAGUGUAGCGGUGAAAUGCGUAGAGAUUGGGAGGAACACCGGUGGCGAAGGCGACUUACUGGACUGUAACUGACGCUGAGGCGCGAAAGCGUGGGGAGCAAACAGGAUGAGAUACCCUGGUAGGCCACGCCGUAAACGAUGAAUACUAGGUGUAGGGGGUAUCGACUCCCUCUGUGCCGCAGUUAACACAAUAAGUAUUCCGCCUGGGGAGUACGGCCGCAAGGUUGAAACUUAAAGGAAUUGACGGGG
rnacentral:rRNA from 1 species